GAUGAAAAUGCCCAUCCCUAUACACAGCCCCAUGACCCUGAAAGUUCUGGUGGAAUUCUAAGCCUAAGAAUUUGAUCGUAGAGCUACCAAAAAAAAAAAAGCUAUAACUUCAAUAUUUCUUUCAAGUCUUUGUAUUACUAAGGGUAGAACUGUAGUAGACUUUAGCAACAACUCAGUGGAAGUGCUGGCAGUACAAAGCUGGGCCCUCGACUGGUGGAGAUUUCACAUUAAACAUUCCACAUCAUAAUUAUAUUAUUGAAUUUAUUAUCAAAAAACUAUUGUGAGUGCAGAAAUAUGUUAUGCAACAAAAUGGUGGUAGAGAAUAUGGUUUGGAAGGAG
rnacentral:lncRNA from 1 species